AGGGUGAGGGGGGUGAAGUCGUAACAAGGUAGCCGUACCGGAAGGUGCGGCUGGAUCACCUCCUUUCUAGGGAG
rnacentral:rRNA from 1 species